GGCUUUAUAUGUGGGAUAUACAGGGCGUAAAUCAGAUUUACAGGAGUCAAAUGCCAGCUGAGAAUCAGACCUACAGUUAGUAUGGGAGCUGUGCCAAGACAAGUACUUUCAGGACCUGAUGCUUGCAAAAGGCCAAACUAGAAGAUAUAUGCUCUACAGGCUGUAAUGAACUUCAUUCUCAUACUGUCUGAACCCAGAAAGAAAGCAUGGGGAAAAUGUUGCCAUUUGCUGCUUGAAACAGAAGCUCUCUUGGAAGCCGGCAAUAUUGGGGAAAGGACCUUUGAUUCGUUUUCUGCUUGUUCUGUUGAAGGCUGCUUGAGAAACAAAGGAGCUGAGGCUCUAUCAACUGUGAUACUACUCGCCUCUGCCAACAGGAUGGAUUUAUCCUCAGACAGCAUUUUGCUCCUGUCACCUAGGAGAAAUUUAAAAUCUUUGCAUUCUCCCAUGCCUGAAGAAGGGUGUGUGCACUCGAAAGCUUGCAAAUAAAGAAGGGUUGUUUUUUUUGCAACUAUCUAGUUGGUCUAAUAAAAGAU